UGCAGUUUGAGUUUUACUACAUUGUCUCUUUUCCUCCCGUUGGAGUUUGCCAUGAGUGCUAUGUAUGGUUGUUGGCUUCGGUACUCUGAUCGUUUGAAGGGGGUCUGCCUAAUGCUCUGUCCUCUAUUCCACUACUCAUGAGAGGUCGUUUCUUAUGGGUUUUUUCCAGGUGUAGCAGUCGGGUUGUGUUUUGUUCGGGUAUGGGCUCUUGGGUACGUAGGUUUUUGUUAACCGAGAAUAUAGUAUUUUGAUGGUCUAGCAGAGGGGGCCCGUAGUGCCCUGUGGGCUCGCUCGAGGAGGAGUUCUGCUGGUGGAGCCUCUGGUAGUAGGCGCAGAACGUUUUGCGUAGAGUGGAAGAAAGGGUGUCUAUUUCUAUGAACUCGUGUAUGCCUCAAAUACUGAUCUUGCUGCGUCUGGAACUGUUAUUUAAAUCUUCCUGGAUGUCCUCCAACUGGCGCAUAUGAUCCCGGAGUUCCCGGAUUGCUUACUCGUGUGCCUCGGACCGUGAUAUUACGUGGUCCACGUGUGCCGUCAUAUUGUUAGUGCGUUGCACAAGGUCGUUGAGGCCUUCUUUAAUGGGGGGGCCAAGUGUUUGGCAAACUCCGAUGCCAUGUUCAGCUCGAUAUCUUUCAGGAAGGUUUGGAGGUCUUCCCUUGUGAUGGGAGUAGUGGUGCUCUUAGUAACAUUCUAAUCUCAGUCUGUUCUGACAUUUCACACGCUCUUUAAUGGUCUCCCAUACUUGUACAGAUUUUCCCAUUAAAAAAUAUUCCAUUUGUAUGUAUUACACAUGCAGAAUCUUGUAUUGGGAUCCAGUGCGAUCAUCGAGAUACAAU